ACGAACGCUGGCGGCAUGCCUAACACAUGCAAGUCGAACGAGACCUUCGGGUCUAGUGGCGCACGGGUGCGUAACGCGUGGGAACCUGCCCUUAGGUUCGGAAUAACUCCCCGAAAGGGGUGCUAAUACCGGAUAAUGUCUUCGGACCAAAGAUUUAUCGCCUUUGGAUGGGCCCGCGUUUGAUUAGCUAGUUGGUAGGGUAAAAGCCUACCAAGGCGACGAUCCAUAGCUGGUCUGAGAGGAUGAUCAGCCACACUGGGACUGAGACACGGCCCAGACUCAUACGGGAGGCAGCAGUGGGGAAUAUUGGACAAUGGGCGAAAGCCUGAUCCAGCAAUGCCGCGUGAGUGAUGAAGGCCUUAGGGUUGUAAAGCUCUUUGACCCGGGAUGAUAAUGACAGUACCGGGAGAAUAAGCUCCGGCUAACUCCGUG
rnacentral:rRNA from 1 species